rnacentral:ribozyme from 1 species
AAGACCAAAAAGAAGACCAAAAAGUAAAAACCUAAACACCUAAACAAAUAAAUUGUAAAUACAAUCUUUCUCUUCUUCUUCUCUCUUGUUCUUCUCCUCUUCUGACUUCAAAUGAGU